rnacentral:rRNA from 1 species
AUUCCAGCUCCAAUAGCGUAUAUUAAAGUUGUUGCAGUUAAAAAGCUCGUAGUUGGAUUUUUGGUGUCCAUUUUGGUCCUGGCAUUGUCUGGGUACUGGAUGUGGGCGUCAUCCUUGGGUGGAAGCAGUGUGGCAUUAGGUUGUCGUGUUGCGGAUGCCCAUCGUUUACUGUGAAAAAAUCAGCGCGUUCAAAGCAGGCUUAUGCCGUUGAAUGUAUUAGCAUGGAAUAAUAAGAUAGGACCUUGGUACUAUUUUGUUGGUUUGCGCACCGAGGUAAUGAUUAAUAGGGACAGUUGGGGGUAUUCGUAUUCCAUUGUCAGAGGUGAAAUUCUUGGAUUUCUGGAAGACGAACUACUGCGAAAGCAUUUACCAAGGAUGUUUUC